UGGUGCCAGCAGCCGCGGUAAUUCCAGCUCCAAUAGCGUAUAUUAAAGUUGUUGCAGUUAAAAAGCUCGUAGUUGAAUUUCGGGAUUAGUACGUUGGUCGUGCCUUAGGUACGUACUGGUGUUACUGGUUCCUACCUUCUGACGAACCAUCAUGUCAUUAAUUUGGUGUGGCGGGGAAUCAGGACUGUUACUUUGAAAAAAUUAGAGUGUUUAAAGCAGGCUCGCGCUUGAAUACAUUAGCAUGGAAUAAUGAAAUAGGACGUUGAUCCUAUUUUGUUGGUUUCUAGGAUUGACGUAAUGAUUAAUAGGGAUAGUUGGGGGCAUUAGUAUUCAAUUGUCAGAGGUGAAAUUCUUGGAUUUAUUGAAGACUAACUACUGCGAAAGCAUUUGCCAAGGAUGUUUUCAUUAAUCAAGAACGAAAGUUAGGGGAUCGAAGACGAUCAGAUACCGUCGUAGUCUUAACCAUAAACUAUGCCGACUAGGGA
rnacentral:rRNA from 2 species